CAGGAUGAACGCUAGCUACAGGCCUAACACAUGCAAGUCGAGGGGCAGCGGGAUUGAAGCUUGCUUCAAUUGCCGGCGACCGGCGCACGGGUGAGUAACGCGUAUCCAACCUUCCGUACACUCAGGGAUAGCCUUUCGAAAGAAAGAUUAAUACCUGAUAGUAUCUUAAGCACACAUGUAAUUAAGAUUAAAGAUUUAUCGGUGUACGAUGGGGAUGCGUUCCAUUAGGUAGUAGGCGGGGUAACGGCCCACCUAGCCAACGAUGGAUAGGGGUUCUGAGAGGAAGGUCCCCCACAUUGGAACUGAGACACGGUCCAAACUCCUACGGGAGGCAGCAGUGAGGAAUAUUGGUCAAUGGACGAGAGUCUGAACCAGCCAAGUAGCGUGAAGGAUGAAGGUCCUACGGAUUGUAAACUUCUUUUAUAAGGGAAUAAACCCUCCCACGUGCGGGAGCUUGUAUGUACCUUAUGAAUAAGCAUCGGCUAACUCCGUGCCAGCAGCCGCGGUAAUACGGAGGAUGCGAGCGUUAUCCGGAUUUAUUGGGUUUAAAGGGAGCGCAGACGGGUCGUUAAGUCAGCUGUGAAAGUUUGGGGCUCAACCCUAAAAUUGCAGUUGAUACUGGCGUCCUUGAGUGCGGUUGAGGUGUGCGGAAUUCGUGGUGUAGCGGUGAAAUGCUUAGAUAUCACGAAGAACUCCGAUUGCGAAGGCAGCACACUAAUCCGUAACUGACGUUCAUGCUCGAAAGUGUGGGUAUCAAACAGGAUUAGAUACCCUGGUAGUCCACACGGUAAACGAUGGAUACUCGCUGUUGGCGAUAUACUGUCAGCGGCUUAGCGAAAGCGUUAAGUAUCCCACCUGGGGAGUACGCCGGCAACGGUGCAACUCAAAUGAAUUGACGG
rnacentral:rRNA from 1 species